rnacentral:rRNA from 1 species
CACUCCUUCCCCCGCUCUCCCUCUCCCGUUACAGAAGCCGCCCGACGCCACCAUCGCCACCACCUCGUCGAUCCGGUGGCCACCGGCCUCCCCUCGUCGCGCCAAGGCGUCCAGGAGCUUCUCCAUCGUCGUCUCCUUCGCCUACGUGCUCUGAAUCGAGCCGGGACGCCCGUACGCUCGCCAUCGAGCUCAUCUCCGUCGCGUACAUCGCCGAUGUUCGUCGUCGUUGCCGCGGCUCCGGUUCACCUCCGGCCUCCCCGACCUCGCCAUCGCGCUUGCGACCCCGAGAUCGGCGCUGAUGCCACUGAGUACGACUACGUCACCGUCGACCCGUCCUUCUCUGCCGAGCUUCCAGGAGCCAGAGGAUCCCGAGGAUGAUUCUACGUGGAGUUCGACUUCAAGGUGUAGUUAGGAGGUCCCAGGCAGGAGGCCUUGCCUUUUCGAUCGUUGCUACUUUUGUGCUAGCCUUCUUAAGGAAAACUUGUUUAACUUAUGUCUGUACUCAGAUAUUAUUGCUUCCACUAACUCUUGUGUCUUCGAGCAUUUGUAUUCGAGCCUUCGAGGCCCC